GGUUUUUAAGUGUGAAUUUUCAUGGAGAGUUUGGAACACUUGAGCAGGCUACAUAUUCCAACUACACCAUAAAGGCAAACCAUUUCUUAAAGAUGACAUCCCAGGGUAUUUCAAAAGGCAUAUUUUGUACCUUAGCCUGAGAUAAGCUUUCUUCUAGCUUGUACUAAGUGUAGUGGUAACAAGCAUUUGUACUGCCUUUUUGACACACAAAGUGAGUUUGCACAGUAUAUUUUGCAAACCUUAUGUGUGCUAAGACUGUAUAAUACUUCAU